GUGCCAGCCGCCGCGGUAAAACGUAGGAGGCGAGCGUUAUCCGGAUUCACUGGGCGUAAAGCGCGUGCAGGUGGCUUGGUAAGUUAGGCGUGAAAUCUCCCGGCUCAACUGGGAGAGGUCGUCUAAUACUACCGGGCUUGAGAGCAGAAGAGGAAGAUGGAAUUCCCGGUGUAGUGGUGAAAUGCGUAGAUAUCGGGAGGAACACCAGUGGCGAAGGCGAUCUUCUGGUCUGUUUCUGACACUCAGACGCGACAGCUAGGGUAGUAAACGGGAUUAGAGACCCCGGUAAUCCUAGCCGUAAACGAUGUAAACUUGGCGUUGGUGGGUUAAACUCCAUCAGUGCCGCAGCAAACGCGAUAAGUUUACCGCCUGGGGACUACGGCCGCAAGGUUAAAACUCAAAGGAAUUGACGG
rnacentral:rRNA from 1 species